AGAGUUUGAUCAUGGCUCAGAACGAACGCUGGCGGCAUGCCUAACACAUGCAAGUCGAACGGGAUCCGAGCUUCGGUUCGGUGAGAGUGGCGGACGGGUGAGUAACGCGUGGGAACCUGCCCGGUGGUGGGGGAUAACUGCGGGAAACUGCAGCUAAUACCGCAUGAGCCCGAGAGGGGAAAGAUUUAUCGCCAUUGGAGGGGCCCGCGUUCGAUUAGGUAGUUGGUGAGGUAACGGCUCACCAAGCCGACGAUCGAUAGCUGGUCUGAGAGGAUGAUCAGCCACACUGGGAUUGAGAUACGGCCCAGACUCCUACGGGAGGCAGCAGUGGGGAAUAUUGGACAAUGGGGGCAACCCUGAUCCAGCAAUGCCGCGUGAGUGAUGAAGGCCUUCGGGUUGUAAAGAUCUUUCAGAUGGGAAGAUAAUGACGGUACCAUCAGAAGAGC
rnacentral:rRNA from 1 species